rnacentral:rRNA from 1 species
CCUANGGGUGGCAGCAGUAGGGAAUAUUGCACAAUGGGCGAAAGCCUGAUGCAGCAACGCCGCGUGCGCGAUGAAGGCCUUCGGGUCGUAAAGCGCUUUUCUGGAGGACGAGGAAGGACGGUACUCCAGGAAUAAGGCUCGGCUAACUACGUGCCAGCAGCCGCGGUAAAACGUAGGAGCCAAGCGUUAUCCGAAUUCACUGGGCGUAAAGCGCGUGCAGGCGGUCUGGUAAGUUGGAUGUGAAAUCUCCUGGCUCAACUAGGAGAGGACGUUCAAUACUGUCAGACUAGAGGGCGGUAGAGGGAGGUGGAAUUCCCGGUGUAGUGGUGAAAUGCGUAGAUAUCGGGAGGAACACCAGUGGCGAAAGCGGCCUCCUGGACCGCACCUGACGCUCAGACGCGAAAGCUAGGGGAGCAAACGGGAUUAGAUACCCGANUANUC